CGCCCACCGCCUGGAACUUUCGUCUCAACCUUGGUUAUUGGAAAGGUGAGCAAAGUUUCAGGUGUGUCGGCGA
rfam:Trichuris suis scaffold7.3, whole genome shotgun sequence.